GGCCUAGGAAAUCUGCUUCUAGAGAAUUUAUCCUCCAGAAAUAAUUCAACAAAAGAACACAGCUCUGUGCAUGCAGAUGCUCAUUAACCCAUCACCUAGAGAAAGGGAAAAUGGAGAUCCCAAUGCAUUAUGAUGAGAUGGGUUAGCAACCUGUGACCUAUCAGCCCACAGGACAUUUAAGUAGUCACUGAAAAGUAGAAACAUGAAGAUAUUACACAACAUGGAAACUGUUUAUGGAGUAAUAUAUUUAGGUAAAAAGGCAGAACUGUAUAUCUACGGUUGGAUUUUUUUUUUUUUUCUAAUAUUAAGCACCAACCAGGAGAAAAAGGAGGAUAGAAAAAAUAAAAUGAAAGCUGUUGGGUGGGAAGAUUUGUUGCUUGCUUUCAUGUUACCAUCACAGCGUUUUUGUCAUUUACAAAGGAGGAAAAAUCAAUUCUGUGCCAACCCGGACAACAGAAACCUGAGUGGGGGUUGAGAAGAGAGAUUUUUCAGCACAGAAUCAGGCUCCUUCUCCGAAGAGCUGUGUGGCCUUCACCUGCAAGGCGACCUCUUCCACAAGCAGAGGCCAGAACAAAAAGAGGCACCUGUGAGUGACAAAGGCGGUUUCCCUCGAGGCGCCAAACGGAGUGGCCACCUCCCACCACCAGGCCUCCUAAUGGGCGCUUUUGUCCCGCGGGGCGGAGGGACCUCAUUAGAAGGCGCUGGUGCUAAAGGGGAAUGCAUUUCCAGAACAGGAGGUUUCAUCAUUCCGAGCGCUAGCGACAGAAUGGUGACAGAAGCUUACCAUUGCCCAGAAGAUAUCACAGACCAUUCAAUGUGAGCACCAAGAAGAAAGGAUACAUCCAUCCAUCCUAUUUUUCCCUAAGACUACAAUCUUGGCCUCUAUCUCUGUCUGCCUCCAGAGAGAGAUUUAGCUUUUGAUCACCUCCAACAAACAACAUCCUUUAGGAUGUUGAAACUGACAACAGACAGCCUACAAAAUCCUACGGUUUACAUUAAAAGUCUGAAGGCAUUGCCACAUUCCAGACCUGGGGGUUAACAGUGCAUGACGAAGCACAUACCCUCAGUAAGAAUUUAAUUUAGCUCGAAUAUGAAGGGAUGCCUUAUGAGACAAACUGGCAGCAGUUCCACAGGGUGAGCAGAGAAGUGGGACUACAAAACAGAAGACAAUUUGCAAUUUCUAAGUUGCUCCCUUCACAAACUACAGUGGAUGUCUUAAAACCAUCUAGUAUAUCCUUUUACCCAGUAAUCUCAAUUCUAGGAAUGUAUUCUAACAAAGUAACUGGGCAAGUCCAUGAGGAGGUGUAUGGACUAAUGUUUCUAUCAAGCCUUUGUUUAUAAUAGGGAAAAAAAAUAAACCCAGAAAACCUAAAGGUCCAUUAGUAGGAAAUAAAGUAUUGGUUAGGCAUAUAAUGAAAUUAUAUGCACUUUUAAAAUGCUGAAAAUGUAUAGUACACUAGACUUCAGACAUCAGCAUUUAGUUUAGUAAGUAUAUUAUUAAGUAAAACAGUUUUAAAAUAGAUGUUAUAAAAUAUCUUUUUUUAAAACAAAGUGUGUUGUAAGAAUAGAAAAGAACUGGAAUAUGCAAUAAAAGGUUAAUUGUGGUAUUUUCUGGUUAGUAAAAUUAAAUGUAAUUUUUACCUUCUUUAUGA